rnacentral:rRNA from 1 species
AUAACGAAGAGUUUGAUCCUGGCUCAGGACGAACGCUGGCGGCGUGGAUUAGGCAUGCAAGUCGAACGCGAACGUUUUCCUUCGGGAAAGCAAGUAGAGUGGCGGACGGGUGAGUAACGCGUAGAUAAUCUACCUCUAAGUGGGGGACAGCCCCGGGAAACCGGGAUUAAUACCGCAUAAUAUCCGACUUGUUCGGAUUAAAGAUGGCCUCUGUUUCAAGCUGUCGCUUAGAGAUGAGUCUGCGUCCUAUUAGCUAGUUGGUAAGGUAAUGGC